rnacentral:rRNA from 1 species
UACGUAGGGGGCUAGCGUUGUCCGGAUUUAUUGGGCGUAAAGAGCGUGUAGGCGGCCUGGUAGGUCUGCUGUGAAAACUCGAGGCUCAACCUCGAGAUGUCGGCGGAAACCAUCUGGCUAGAGUCCGGAAGAGGAGAGUGGAAUUCCUGGUGUAGCGGUGAAAUGCGCAGAUAUCAGGAAGAACACCUAUGGCGAAGGCAGCUCUCUGGGACGGUACUGACGCUGAGGAGCGGAAGCGUGGGGAGCGAACAGG